AGGAGUAGAGCUCAGCGGCAGAGUGCAUGCUUAUCAUGCACGAGGUCCUGGGUUCAAUCCCUAGUACCGCCA
rnacentral:tRNA from 1 species